rnacentral:rRNA from 1 species
UUAAAAAGCUCGUAGUUGAAUUUCGGGAUUAGUACGUUGGUCGUGCCUUCGGUACGUACUGGUGUUACUGGUUCCUACCUUCUGACGAACCAUCAUGUCAUUAAUUUGGUGUGGCGGGGAAUCAGGACUGUUACUUUGAAAAAAUUAGAGUGUUUAAAGCAGGCUCGCGCUUGAAUACAUUAGCAUGGAAUAAUGAAAUAGGACGUUGACCCUAUUUUGUUGGUUUCUAGGAUUGACGUAAUGAUUAAUAGGGAUAGUUGGGGG